UACGUAGGGUGCGAGCGUUGUCCGGAAUUACUGGGCGUAAAGAGCUCGUAGGUGGUUUGUCGCGUUGUUCGUGAAAUGCCACAGCUUAACUGUGGGCGUGCGGGCGAUACGGGCAGACUGGAGUACUGCAGGGGAGACUGGAAUUCCUGGUGUAGCGGUGGAAUGCGCAGAUAUCAGGAGGAACACCGGUGGCGAAAGCGGCUCUCUGGGACGGUACUGACGCUGAGACGCGAAAGCGUGGGGAGCGAACAGG
rnacentral:rRNA from 1 species